rnacentral:rRNA from 1 species
GUGGUAAUUCUAGAGCUAAUACAUGCUAAAAAUCCCGACUUACGGAGGGAUGUAUUUAUUAGAUUAAAAACCAAUGCCCUUCGGGGCUCUUUGGCGAUUCAUAAUAACUUGUCGAAUCGCAUGGCCUUGCGCCGGCGAUGGUUCAUUCAAAUUUCUGCCCUAUCAACUUUCGAUGGCAGGGUAUUGGCCUGCCAUGGUUACAACGGGUAACGGAGGGUUAGGGCUCGACCCCGGAGAAGGAGCCUGAGAAACGGCUACUACAUCCAAGGAAGGCAGCAGGCGCGCAAAUUACUCAAUCCCGACACGGGGAAGUAGUGACAAUAAAUACUGAUACAGGGCUCUUUUGGGUCUUGUAAUUGGAAUGAGUACAAUUUAAAUCCCUUAACGAGGAACAAUUGGAGGGCAAGUCUGGUGCCAGCAGCCGCGGUAAUUCCAGCUCCAAUAGCGUAUAUUAAAGUUGUUGCAGUUAAAAAGCUCGUAGUUGAACCUUGGGCCUGGCCGGCCGGUCCGCCUCACCGCGUGCACUGGUUCGGCCGGGCCUUUCCCUCUGGGGAACCCCAUGCCCUUCACUGGGUGUGUGGGGGAACCAGGACUUUUACUGUGAAAAAAUUAGAGUGUUCAAAGCAGGCCUAUGCUCGAAU